rnacentral:lncRNA from 1 species
UCCUACCUAUAUGUAACUUAUUCAGGAAUCAAGCAUAAAAGAAAGUGAAUAAAACUUGAAAGUAUUUUAUUAAUUAUAGAGAAUAGAAAAUAAAUAUACAAAAUUAUGUAAGAACAUCUAUACUCCCCUAUAGACUGUAUCUUAACCAAGCAUGGCUUCUGUAUAAAUCUUCUAAAAGAUUUGAAACCCUGCCACAGUAUCUCCUCUUUUUGAAGCAAUCUUCUUCUUCUCC